GGGCGGAUAGCUCAGCGGGAGAGCAUCGGCCUUACAAGCCGGGGGCCGCAGGUUCAAAUCCUGUUCCGCCCA
rnacentral:tRNA from 1 species